ACUAAACAUCAAUAAUGUUGCAAGAGGAACAGUUCAUAUAUUUGUAAUCUAGUAUAAAUAUAAAGCUUUCCUUUGCUAAGAUACCAAUGUUUUCCCAAAUGGUUUUCAGCUGCUAACUUUUAUAGCUGUUAUUAAGUGUGACUUUUAUAUAAUAUUAACUAGCAGUGUGUCUAAUAAGCAAGAAAUGGUUUAUGCGCCAAUUAAUAUUUGUCCUGCCUGGUUUGUCACAAACAGGAUUGUUUCACGGGGCAUGUCAAUAUCACGGCCUGAUGCUGUUACAGGAAAAUGCAGAAUGAUACGUCAUGAGAGAGAUGCAAAGAAUGAUCCAAAUCCUAAAAGGUUUGAUCUGAUUUCCCAUACAAGACAAACCAUGAAUUCUGAUGGAAUAAAUUCUCUUAAAUACAGCGUCACCAAGAUUGAAAAGUUUCCUUUGUACACAAAAAUAACAGUUGAUGUUGGGAAUCCACCAAGCUAACGCAUUUUCGGUUUGGCCAAGCAACUUUCACGAACUGGUCUCACCGUGCUGGUAUGGUGGCAACUCAUAUUAACAUUAAAGUUUUGUUUUUUUAUAGAAGUUUUACAGAUUUGCAUAUCCACUAUAUUUGGCACAUGCAGAUUAUUUUAUGUGACCGCUUCAGAAAGCCAUGCAAAGAAAGAAAAAAAACAAAAAAACAUUUAUUUCAGGUUAAAUUUGUUGAAAUGGAAUUUGAAUGCAUCCCUGGUAUACCGCUGCUAUGUAAUUUCUAUGUUUACAAGUGUAGAUGCCUUAUCUUCCAGUGAUGGCCUUUCCAACAGGACAAGCCCUGUGAGCCAAAGUAUCUUCAAGCACCUUUGAAGGUUUCCAUAUGAAAGGCCGUUGUUACCAGCAAUAAAAUAUUUAUAGUCUGUUUGUCAUUUAUUACACAUAUAUUUUUCAUGCCUUGUUACAUCUAUGGAGAAUCAUUUGACAACAUGCUGUUUAAUAAAAAUGCUGCAUGUUAAGCCUCCGUACAGUUGUAUCAACUGAGGCAUUACGUGGCUUGUAAGUUAAUAUUUUUUUCCUUUGGAACCUCUUUGUAUGUAUGUUGUGAUAAACAAAAAUUGACAUAAUUGACAAUGCAGCUGUCUUUUUAGCUGUUCUGCUUUCCAAAGAUAAUUAUUUUACGUCACUGUCUUAUGCAUUUGUGACAAUUUUGUAACAAAGACUUUUCGUAUCAGACCAACAGCCGACAACAGGCUCUGAGCUUUAAAGCAAUUAUGUGAAUGCGUUCUCAGGCGUCAAUGUUUUAUAAAAAGGUUUGACUAUUGUACUCAUUGGAUUGGAAAAAUAAUCUAUGUACAGAAGUAAAUUGUAGGCUCUGUUGGUGUUUUCUUCAUCGCCCAUUUUGUGUAUGCACCUAAUAUUGAAAUGGGUAUUUACCAUGUAUUUAUUUGGCAGUAGUUUUAAAUCUAUUUCCAUUCUUAUAAUAAUUCAAGUUCAUAUUCCUCAUGUUGCUUCGUCUUCUUAAAUUAUACCUUAUAAAAUCUCCGGGAAUUUAUUAUUUUUAAUUUCUACAGACUAUUUCAUGCGCUUUAUCCUGUUGUAUGCAGGUUGUAGAUACGGGAGACAGAUUGUGGGAAAGAGCUUUGUUUAGGAAAAAUAAGCAAUGAGGGGAAUUAACAUUGCAUACGGGUUUAAAUCUGUACAAAAGCCAUAGCAAACAGUGUGUCAUUUGCCUACAUUGUUUAAGUUGCACUAAUAAAACCUUUAUUAUUUGAUUGGAUGCUAUGGAUUUUGUAUGAAGUUACAACAGAAAGCAAUGUUGGUGAUCCAGUUUGUCUUAUAUUAGCAUAGUGAAAUCCACUAGAAGCUGUGUCUGUGUAUGGGUGUUCAGCAUAUUCCUGUGGGAAUGACAAAUUCAGGUUGUGAAAAAUAAACCAAUAUUAUUUUUUCUGUAAUCAAUAAAACUUGCACACAAAUGUUUACUAUCAAUAAUGUAUCUGUGAACUGUAUAUUGAGAAGCAUAUUUUUAUAUGAAGUUGUACAAUAAAUUUGAACCCACUCUCUA